CAGGGAAUAGUUUAAGUAGAACUUCAGCUUUGGGGGUUGAUGGUGAAAUAGUAUUUUCUUCCCUGA
rnacentral:tRNA from 1 species